rnacentral:rRNA from 1 species
AGAUCAUCAUUGGGCGUAAAGUGUGCGUAGGUGGUCGUUUAAGUCCGUUGUGAAAGCCCUGGGCUCAACCUGGGAACUGCAGUGGAUACUGGGCGACUAGAGUGUGGUAGAGGGUAGCGGAAUUCCUGGUGUAGCAGUGAAAUGCGUAGAGAUCAGGAGGAACAUCCAUGGCGAAGGCAGCUACCUGGACCAACACUGACACUGAGGCACGAAAGCGUGGGGAGCAAACAGGAUUAGAUACCCUGGUAGUCCACGCCCUAAACGAUGCGAACUGGAUGUUGGGUGCAAUUUGGCACGCAGUAUCGAAGCUAACGCGUUAAGUUCGCCGCCUGGGGAGUACGGUCGCAAGACUGAAACUUAAAAAAUUGACGG